rnacentral:rRNA from 1 species
GACGAACGCUGGCGGCGUGCUUAACACAUGCAAGUCGAGCGGAGCGGCGAACGGGUGAGUAACGCGUGAGUAACUGCCCCCCUCUCUGGGAUAACAGUUGGAAACGGCUGCUAAUACCGGAUAGUGGGGGAUGACUCGCGUCCUAUCAGCUUGUUGGUGGGGUAGUGGCCCACCAAGGCGACGACGGGUAGCCGGCCUGGGAGGGCGACCAGCCACAUUGGGCUGAGAUACGGGACACACACGGACGGGACGCAGCCGUGGGGAAUAUUGCACAAUGGGGGAGACCCUGAUGCGGCAACGCGCGGGCGGGAUGACGGCCUUCGGGUUGUAAACCGCUUUCGGCCAUGACGCGGUAGUGGCAGAAGAAGCACCGGCUAACUACGUGCCAGCAGCCGCGGUAAUAC